AGAAAAAUUUGUAAUUCUCAAAGCACCCGAAGACGAGCGAUCUAGGCCAGAGCAGGUUGAAGAGCAGAUAAUCUCUGCGAUGGAAGACCGAACCCGUAACUGUGGCAAAAGUUUGGGAUGACUUUGGCCUAGGAGUGAAAGGCUAAUCAAGCUCGUGCAUAGCUGGUUUUUGGCGAAAUGUAUUUCGGUACAGCGUUUCUUCAAAGUUGUAGAAUUUACUGUAUUCUUGGAUAUGGGUGGGUCUAAGCUGCUGCGUAUCCGAGAAAACACUGAAUUUUUUGGAAUCAUGGGAGAAAUAGACAGACUUUGGGUGCCAAGGUCCAAAGUCAAAAGGGAAACAGCCCUCAAAGUACGAUAAGGUCUUCAAUAUAGAGCUUCGUGGAAACAAAAGUUUACGUGAUGAAUAUCACAAAGCAUCGACCCUCCUAAGGUAGGCUUGGAAGCAGCCAUUCUGGUUUGAAAGCGUAAUAGCUCAUGGAGAGAGCUUCUAAACAUUCAACAUAAACGAGGCCUUAGCUCUAAACCAAUACGACUUUUGCAUUGACG
rnacentral:rRNA from 1 species